UGCGUAGGGUACUAGCGUUGUCCGGAUUUAUUGGGCGUAAAGGGCUUGUAGGUGGUUUGUCGCGUCUGUCGUGAAAUCCUGUGGCUUAACUAUGGGCUUGCGGUUGGGACGGGUAGGCUUGAGUGAGGUAGAGGAGACUGGAAUUCCUGGUGUAGCGGUGGAAUGCGCAGAUAUCAGGAGGAACACCGGUGGCGAAGGCGGCUCUCUGGACCGUUACUGACACUGAGGAGCGAAAGCGUGGGGAGCGAACAGG
rnacentral:rRNA from 1 species